GGGCCUGUAGAUCAGUCGCAGAUUGUUGGAUGCAGAUUCUGACCAACUUGAAACGCUUGAUUCGCAUUCAAGAGGUCACGGGUUCAAAUCCCGUCAGGUCCA
rnacentral:tRNA from 1 species